rnacentral:rRNA from 1 species
CCUACGGGAGGCAGCAGUGGGGAAUAUUGCACAAUGGGGGAAACCCUGAUGCAGCGACGCCGCGUGAAGGAAGAAGUAUUUCGGGAUGUAAACUUCUAUCAGCAGGGAAGAAAAUGAAGGUACUUGACCAAGAAGCCCCUGCUAAUUACGUGCCAGCAGCCGCGGUACUACGGAGGGGGCAAGCUUUAUCCGGAUUUACGGGGGUUAAAGGGAGCGUAGGCGGUUUAGCAAGUCAGAAGGGAAAGCCCGGGGCUCAACUCCGGGACUGCUUUUGAAACUGUUGAACUAGAUUGCAGGAGAGGUGAGUAGAAUUCCUGGUGUAGCGGUGAAAUGCGUAGAUAUUAGGAGGAACACCAGUGGCGAAGGCGGCUUACUGGACUGUAAAUGACGCUGAGGCUCGAAAGCGUGGGGAGCAAACAGGAUUAGAUACCCUGGUAGUC